rnacentral:rRNA from 1 species
GAUGAACGCUAGCGGCAGGCCUAAUACAUGCAAGUCGAACGGGAUUGAGGAGCUUGCUCCUCAUGAGAGAGGCGCACGGGUGCGUAACACGUAUGUAACCUACCUUAAUCAGGGGAAUAGCCUCUCGAAAGAGAGAUUAAGACCGCAUAAAAUCACACUAUGGCAUCAUAGAAUGAUCAAAUAUUUAUAGGAUUAAGAUGGGCAUGCGGAACAUUAGCUAGUUGGUAAGGUAACGGCUUACCAAGGCUACGAUGUUUAGGGGAUCUGAGAGGAUGGCCCCCCACACUGGUACUGAGACACGGACCAGACUCCUACGGGAGGCAGCAGUAAGGAAUAUUGGUCAAUGGGCGGAAGCCUGAACCAGCCAUGCCGCGUGCAGGAAGACGGCCCUACGGGUUGUAAACUGCUUUUGUACCGGAAUAAACCUACUUACGUGUAAGUAGCUGAAUGUACGGUAAGAAUAAGGAUCGGCUAACUCCGUGCCAGCAGCCGCGGUAA